rnacentral:lncRNA from 1 species
GUUUCACAUGGAGACAUCAGCCGUCAAGAGUGAAAUUUUGACUCUGCAAAGCGACCUCCAAAUCAAUCGAGGGCAUCGGGAGAACACUUUUGGAACCUUAUCGUGGAGGAAAAAUAUCCAAACAUGAGAAAAGUUGGCAUGUACUUGACAGAAUGUUUUGGAUCUACCUACAUUUGCGAGUCAGCAUUUUCAGACAUGAUCAAAAUACCGGUCCACUCUAACAGAUGACGCUGGACACCUGUUUGAGGCAAGCAAUCAGUAGCUACAUCCCAGACCAUGCUGAGCUUGCUGACAGCAUGCAGUGCAAAUCAUCCAAUCAAUAAGGAGAAGGAGAAGUAGAGGAGGAGUACUUGGAGGAUUUCUCAAGGGGCUGAGUCUACAGCACUAGUAAUUAGUUAGUUAUCCGAGAUGAGAUUUUUGUAGUUGCAGCAGUUUAGAUGAAAAUGGCUGAAUAUGAAAUUGUAGCUAUACAAUCUUAAACAAAAUACUACAAAAAUACUGUUUGCAUGCUUCAAACAUACUGUACUUUUGUAUUUUGCAUUUCUUUCACUAAACUGGUAUAUACGUAUUCAUAAACAUACAUUUCAG